AGUGAACGCUGGCGGUAGGCCUAACACAUGCGAGUCGAACGGCAGCACAGUAAGAGCUUGCUCUUACGGGUGGCGAGUGGCGGACGGGUGAGGAAUACAUCGAAAUCUACUUUUUCGUGGGGGAUAACGUAGGGAAACUUACGCUAAUACCGCAUACGACCUACGGGUGAAAGCAGGGGAUCUUCGGACCUUGCGCGAUUGAAUGAGCCGAUGUCGGAUUAGCUAGUUGGCGGGGUAAAGGCCCACCAAGGCGACGAUCCGUAGCUGGUCUGAGAGGAUGAUCAGCCACACUGGAACUGAGACACGGUCCAGACUCCUACGGGAGGCAGCAGUGGGGAAUAUUGGACAAUGGGCGCAAGCCUGAUCCAGCCAUACCGCGUGGGUGAAGAAGGCCUUCGGGUUGUAAAGCCCUUUUGUUGGGAAAGAAAAGCAGCAGGUUAAUACCCCGCUGUUCUGACGGUACCCAAAGAAUAAGCACCGGCUAACUUCGUG
rnacentral:rRNA from 1 species